CUGGUACUCCCUCCGUCCGGAAAUACUUGUCAUCAACAUGGAUAAAAGGAGAUGUAUUUAGAUGUAUUUUAGUUCACAUCUUUUUAUCCAUUUUGAUGACAAGUAUUUUCGGAUGGAGGGAGUACAAG
rfam:Triticum aestivum genome assembly, contig: Triticum_aestivum_CS42_TGACv1_scaffold_470861_6AL